GCAAAAAGAUAGGGCGGAAAAACGAGAAGAGAGUGAACCGAGAACUGCAUUAAUAUGACGAUGGAAAAGAAAAGCAGUGAAACUCAUCGAGUGGAGGAAGAGAAGAAGACAGAAUGUGCUUAGUCAACAACCAGAAGUCCAAUGACACUGAGUUGAGUAUCUGGAGAUGAGUCAAACUCUCCCAACACUUUCAGAGGAAGGAAUAAGAAAGUGUCAGCUGACAGUGGGAAAGGGAAGAGGCAAGAGAUGACCAUUGCUGGAUACACGUCGCAACACAUGAUUGCCUCUGAAGAAUUACCGUUCCCUAAAUGACCAAAGGAGGUCAUAUUCCUGGAUCCUCUGCCUCAGAUCAGGAAAUCAACGGGAGAAACGUCUUAAAGCCCUUCCUCUCCGGCCACAAUGCCCGAACAAGUGAACCAUUUCCAGGGUCAGAGCUUCCACAAGCUGAGGCGAGCCUGCCUGAGGCGAGGUGCCCUCUUUCAGGACCCCCUGUUCCCCGCCACCCCCCAGUCCUUAUUCUACAGGAGGAAGCCCCCCCCGGGACUGACCUGGAAGAGGCCGA